rnacentral:piRNA from 1 species
UGGGAAAGGCCUCAUGUCAUGUAUGGACAGC